ensembl:snoRNA SNORA72 Small nucleolar RNA SNORA72
GUGCAUUUAAUAAUUUCUAAUCAAGGCUAAAUAUUUGCUAUAUCAAGACCAUGUAUGUGUCCCCAGACCUAGUUAUUUCCCUAGGUCUGGUUUUAUAAAUGCUGGUGAUAAAC